UGGGGAAUAUUGGACAAUGGGCGCAAGCCUGAUCCAGCCAUGCCGCGUGAGUGAUGAAGGCCCUAGGGUUGUAAAGCUCUUUCACCGGUGAAGAUAAUGACGGUAACCGGAGAAGAAGCCCCGGCUAACUUCGUGCCAGCAGCCGCGGUAAUACGAAGGGGGCUAGCGUUGUUCGGAUUUACUGGGCGUAAAGCGCACGUAGGCGGACUUUUAAGUCAGGGGUGAAAUCCCGGGGCUCAACCCCGGACCUGCCUUUGAUACUGGAAGUCUUGAGUAUGGUAGAGGUGAGUGGAAUUCCGAGUGUAGCGGUGAAAUUCGUAGAUAUUCGGAGGAACACCAGUGGCGAAGGCGGCUCACUGGACCAUUACUGACGCUGAGGUGCGAAAGCGUGGGGAGCAAACAGG
rnacentral:rRNA from 1 species